UACAGAGGUCCCGAGCGUUGUUCGGAUUUCUUGGGCGUAAAGGGUGCGUAGGCGGCGGAGUAAGUUGGGUGUGAAAUCCCGGGGCUCAACCUCGGAAUGGCAUUCAAUACUGCUUCGCUAGAGUACUGGAGAGGAGGCUGGAAUUUACGGUGUAGCAGUGAAAUGCGUAGAUAUCGUAAGGAAGGCCGGUGGCGAAAGCGAGCCUCUGGACAGUUACUGACGCUGAUGCACGAAGGCCAGGGGAGCAAACGGG
rnacentral:rRNA from 1 species